rnacentral:rRNA from 1 species
CCUACGGGAGGCAGCAGUGAGGAAUAUUGGUCAAUGGCCGGAAGGCUGAACCAGCCAUGCCGCGUGAAGGUCAGUGCCCUAUGGGCGUUAAACUUCUUUUGUGCGGGAGCAAUAAUGGUCACGUGUGGCCAGACGAGAGUACCGUACGAAUAAGCAUCGGCUAACUCCGUGCCAGCAGCCGCGGUAAUACGGGGGAUGCAAGCGUUAUCCGGAUUUAUUGGGUUUAAAGGGUGCGUAGGCUGUGAGGUAAGUCAGCGGUGAAAUGCCCCCGCUCAACGGGGUGAAGUGCCAUUGAUACUGCCUUGCUGGAAUGCGGAUGCCGUGGGAGGAAUGUGUGGUGUAGCGGUGACAUGCAUAGAUAUCACACAGAACACCGAUUGCGAAGGCAUCUCACGAAUCCGCGAUUGACGCUGAUGCACGAAAGCGUGGGUAUCAAACAGGAUUAGAUACCCCUGUAGUC